rnacentral:rRNA from 1 species
CCUACGGGAGGCAGCAGUGGGGAAUAUUGCACAAUGGAGGGAACUCUGAUGCAGCGACGCCGCGUGAGUGAAGAAGUAAUUCGUUAUGUUAAGCUCUAUCAGCAGGGAAGAAAGUGACGGUACCUGAAAAAGAAGCUCCGGCUAAAUACGUGCCAGCAGCCGCGGUAAAACGUAUGGAGCAAGCGUUAUCCGGAUUUACUGGGGGUAAAGGGAGAGUAGGUGGCAGAGCAAGUCCGGAGUGAAAACCCAAAGCUCAACUAUGGGAAUGCUUUAGAAACUGCUCAGCUAGAGUGCAGGAGAGGCAUGUGGAAUGCGUGGUGUAGCGGUGAAAUGCGUAGAUAUUAGGAGGAACACCAGUGGCGAAGGCGGCUUGCUGGACUGUAACUGACGCUGAGGCUCGAAAGCCUGGGGAUCGAACAGGAUUAGAUACCCGGGUAGUC